GGCCUGGUGGUGUAAUGGUAACACGCUUGCUUUACAUAUUGAUGUGAAUAUGGAGUUCAGCAGAGGAUUCUUGUUCAACUCAAGGCCAGGUCA